rnacentral:rRNA from 1 species
CGACCGGCCACACUGGGACUGAGACACGGCCCAGACUCCUACGGGAGGCAGCAGUGGGGAAUAUUGCGCAAUGGGGGAAACCCUGACGCAGCGACGCCGCGUGCGGGAUGAAGGCCUUCGGGUUGUAAACCGCUUUCACCAGGGACGAAGCGAGAGUGACGGUACCUGGGGAAGAAGCGCCGGCUAACCACGUGCCAGCAGCCGCGGUAAUACGUANNNNNCAAGCGUUGUCCGGAUUUAUUGGGCGUAAAGAGCUCGUAGGCGGCCUGUUGCGUCCGCUGUGAAAUCGGGGCUCAACCCCGGGCGUGCAGUGGAUACGGGCUGGCUAGAGGCAGGCAGGGGAGAACGGAAUUCCUGGUGUAGCGGUGAAAUGCGCAGAUAUCAGGAGGAACACCGGUGGCGAAGGCGGUUCUCUGGGCCUGUUCUGACGCUGAGGAGCGAAAGCGUGGGGAGCGAACAGGAUUAGAUACCCUGGUAGUCCACGCCGUAAACGUUGGGCGCUAGGUGUGGGUCCCUCCACGGGGUCUGUGCCGCAGCUAACGCAUUAAGCGCCCCGCCUGGGGAGUACGGCCGCAAGGCUAAAA